ACUCAUCAUACAGUUUGCAACCUGGUGUCAUCCCAACCAAUUUUGAUGUCCAACAAUUACAGGAAAUGCCUAACCUGCCUAGUCCAAGAAGAAAUCUUCAUGAAUCUGAGAACAACAAUGCUAUGAGAAGUCCCACGAUUGCUCUCUGUUCUUGUGAAGGAUCUCCCAUCGCCACCAUCAUUCACCUAAUGGCCGAAAUGAGUUCACGAGAUGAACUUAAAAACAGACUCCGAAGACAGUUAGUGAUAACAAUCCAGCAACGUGAUGAGUAUCAGAGGAGAGACAGAGAAGCCAAAGCCAAAGUGAGGAUGUUUGAGAGAAAGGCCAUUGUGUUGAGGGCACAGGUCAGUGCUUUACAACCAGGUCAAUUCCAUUUACCAUCUGGUCAGAUCUCAAACAACUUGAUGCGAGCCAGCAGACAAAUACAGGAACUGCGUGAACAGGCUAGACAGUAUCAAAUGCCUAUUCCGAUAAGAACUGCUCGUGGAUCUCAGAACAGUGCUAUGAGAUGCCAUGGUGACACUCUCUGUUCUUCUUGUGGCCAACCUCUCACCUCAAUCAGUAUACGCCUACGGCGGUGAUAAAAUCCCGGCAAGCACUGAAAAACACCUUUCGAAGACAAUUCGCGCUGAUAAUCCAGCAACGUGAUGAGCUCAGAGCCAGAGAAGCUGAAGCUAAAGGAAGGAUUUUGGAGAGAAGGCACAUCCUGAUGAAGGCACAAGUCAGAGCUGUGCAUGAGGCCUACCUAAGAGAUAUCAAGUUAGGUAAUCUCAGCAACCCAUAACCAAAUGUUGUGUGAACCAGGGGAUGUGAUGUUUGUGAGAACUUUAUCAAAUAACUUCCAAUUUAUUUGUCACUUACCCAAGUGGUGAGAAAUGGCUAGUUAUUUGAUGCAAGAUGAUUUGCAGUUGACAGCAAGUCAAUAGCCUUAUGACAGGGUUCUCUCAUGAGAGAGUUAGAUGAAAGAAUGAAAAUAUACAAUCAAUUCCAUGCAUUCGUGCAUAACAAAUUCCAUGCAUAAUUCCUUUGAAUACCAUAAUGAUCUUAGCUUUUCUGUACAAUAUUUUAAUACAAAUGUAUACAUUGUAUAUAUUAAUUUUCCCUUUUACCUAUAUUAAAGUGGAUGAGAAAUUCAUUUCUAAUUGUGUGUACGUAACAUAAACCAAUGACUCUAAAGGAGUGUAGGCUAUGUCAUGACGUUGCCCUCUUUGGGUACAGCAGCACUAUUUCCCCCUCCCUCUGCACUAUUCCCCCCCUCCCUCUGCUCCAGCCCUUUUCUAUGCAUCAUUCCCCUACCUCUCACACCCAGGCUGCUGUGGUCAGAAGAGGUAGUAAAUUCCUAGAGAAGAUCCUGCCUCAUGGCCAGACAGUAUAGAGAGAGUGAGUUUUCAUAGAGAGAACAAAGGAGUUUCUUCCAUCUCACAGAACUGGAGAACCAAACAACAUUUAUGUUCUGGAGAAGGUAUAAAAGAUUGAAGAAUCCGGCUACGAACUGGUCCGUUUGGUACAAUUUUGUGAAACUCAUGGGAGACAAUACAGCCACAUUACCAUAACGCUGUUUAUACAAUAGCCUCAGUUAGGAGGCUUACAUAUUUGUUGUAUAAGAUGAAUGAGUGAGGGUGAUACUGUUUGUGAAAUUGUGUAAUGUGAUUUUGGACUGUUCAAUGAAGGAAACUCCAAUUCCCUAAAAAGUUUCACUAAGUCAUUAGCAUGCCCCCAGGGCACAGACAGGACCUGGCAUCAUGAGACAGACUUUUUCUAUGUCCCGAAUAAAACCCCCACGUGGGUUUUCUAUCAGCAGACCGAGCUUACCUCAAUUACAAGAUGGCUAAAGGUUGCAGAACAGUUUAUUACGAGAGGGCCAAGGUUUGAGUAGAGACCAUAAACCUAAGGUUUGAGUAGAUGGCUGAAUCUUUUAACCAUACCACGUGGUUAAACUCUUAGACUAUCGACACCGACAGAAUAAGAACAAGUCUGAUAUUAAUUACUAGUCUUCAGCUAGGAAUUCGGCAUCAUUGAAUGCGAAGACCAACAACCGCCGAAACAUCUAUUCUAUAACGACGAGAGAGAAAAAACUCUCCAACAAAAACAAACUUUUCAACAGAGAUCCUGAUGACACACUGAGCGUAAAUAUAUAUUGAUUGCAAUUGUUCCCAAAUGAGUGAGCGUUCACGUGCAAAGGAUUAGCAUUUAAAUUGUUAUAUUUAUCCCUCUAACAAGCCACCAUACCGGUUUAGCCCACUAGGGCACAUCCCCCUAUCAUUUCUUUGUAACCAUAUCU
ensembl:lncRNA